rnacentral:rRNA from 1 species
UACGUAGGGGGCAAGCGUUGUCCGGAUGUAUUGGGCGUAAAGAGCGUGUAGGCGGUCAGGUAGGUCCGUUGUGAAAACUCGAGGCUCAACCUCGAGACGCCGAUGGAAACCAUCUGACUAGAGUCCGGAAGAGGAGAGUGGAAUUCCUGGUGUAGCGGUGAAAUGCGCAGAUAUCAGGAAGAACACCCGUGGCUAAGGCGGCUCUCUAGUACGGUACUGACGCUGAGACGCGAAAGCGUGGGGAGCGAACAGG